UCAGUUGUGAAAGUUUGCGGCUCAACCGUAAAAUUGCAGUUGAAACUGGCAGUCUUGAGUACAGUAGAGGUGGGCGGAAUUCGUGGUGUAGCGGUGAAAUGCUUAGAUAUCACGAAGAACUCCGAUUGCGAAGGCAGCUCACUAGACUGUUACUGACACUGAUGCUCGAAAGUGUGGGUAUCAAACAGGAUUAGAUACCCUGGUAGUCCACACAGUAAACGAUGAAUACUCGCUGUUUGCGAUAUACAGUAAGCGGCCAAGCGAAAGCAUUAAGUAUUCCACCUGGGGAGUACGCCGGCAACGGUGAAACUCAAAGGAAUUGACGGGGGCCCGCACAAGCGGAGGAACAUGUGGUUUAAUUCGAUGAUACGCGAGGAACCUUACCCGGGCUUAAAUUGCAACAGAAUAUAUUGGAAACAGUAUAGCCGUAAGGCUGUUGUGAAGGUGCUGCAUGGUUGUCGUCAGCUCGUGCCGUGAGGUGUCGGCUUAAG
rnacentral:rRNA from 1 species